rnacentral:rRNA from 1 species
UACAGAGGGUGCAAGCGUUAAUCGGAAUUACUGGGCGUAAAGCGAGCGUAGUCGGUUAUUUAAGUCGGGUGUGAAAGCCCCGGGCUCAACCUGGGAAUUGCAUUCGAUACUGGAUAGCUAGAGUUCGGCAGAGGGAAGCGGAAUUUCCGGUGUAGCGGUGAAAUGGCGUAGAUAGUCGGAAGGAACGCCGGUGGCGAAAGCGAUCGACUGGACCUUUUCUGACGCUGAGGCGCGAAAGCUAGGGGAGCGAACAGGA